ensembl:lncRNA
GCUGUACAGUACCUCCUUGUUGGUUAUCUGUUUCAAAUACAGCAGUCAUACAUGGCCAUUCAGAACUGUAACUAUCCCUUACCCCCCUUCUUCCCCUGGCAACCAUACGUUCAUUUUUUCUCCCUUCUUUUAGAAGCAGCAUGAAAAGGGGCUCCACAUGAGUAAUUGUUAACAUCAGGGACGUGCAAAUCAAAGCUGCAGGCAGGAAUCGCCUCUUGCCAGUCAGCAGGGCCAUCAGCAAACUCUACAAACAGGACUUCCUGGUGCUGCAGUGGGUAAGAAUCCACCUGCCAGUACAGGGGGACACGGGUUCGAUUCCUGGUCCAUGAAGACUGUAUACACUACAGAGCCAACUAAGCCUAUACACCGCGGCUGAGCCUGUGCUCUAGAGCUUGCGAGCCACACCUACAGAGGCCCGCGUGCCCGAGGGCCUGUGCUCCACAAGAGAAGUCACAGCAGUGAGAAGCCGUGCGCCACAGCUAGAGGGCAGCCCCCACUCUGCACCUGGAGCCAAGCCCAUGCUCUGCAAUGAAGACCCAGCACAGCCAAAAGAAGCCUAGAUGCAGUGAAUGCUAGAGCGGAUGUGGGGAAAGGAAGGCUCCUCCGCUGUUCUGGGAAUGCAAACUGUUGACAGUCCACGGAGAACACGAGAGCUCUAAAAAAGAGCUACCCUGUGAUCUAUCCGUUCCACUCCUGGGUGUCUACAGGAAGAAAACCAGGAUUCAAAAAGACACACGCAACUCGCCACUCAGCACAGCACUAAUUUACACAAGCCAAAAGAGGGAAGCAACCACCAUGUCCACGAACAGAAGAAUGGGACCUAGACACGAUGGAAUAUUGCUCAGGCAGAAAGGAGAGUGAAAUAAUGCCGCUGGCAGCACCCUGAGUGGAUCUAGAGGAUCACGGAAAUAGGAGGCACAUGACGGCAGAGGUGGAGAGGUGGGCAGCAGUCUGUUCCUGCCGGAUAGGAGAGCGUGGUGCAGACUUCAAAGUCAUCUCACUUAAAGCCUGCUAAUUAGCACCAUGAGAAAGAAAUUCUGAAAGUCCUUGAUAAACUAUUUCUUCCCACUAUUCCCGACUGCUGCUAUACAGCCCUCCAGCUCAAGCUGGCGCUGGGUAAAGCAUUAUUGCAGCGUUGUUUAUAACAGAGGAACUUGGCGGGGACCCUUCAUGUCCACCCAUAGGACAAAGGCAGAAUCACAGAUAAACCUGCAUGUGAUGACAAGGACAUCCAGCAGUUAAAAGGAAUUCACAUGCCUGUACAUCUGAAUAGAUCCUAAAGACACUGCUGACAAAGCUCAAAGUGCAUGAGGAUAUUCAUCCCGAUCUCUAUUAGGAGGAAAUGCCUCAUGUGUAUUAACGAACAAGCAUACAGAUCUAAAAGUGUAAGGAACAGAUUGGAGGUCUGCCCUGUAGCAGUUAGAAUUAAGAAGGACCUCGGGGUUUGGAGUGGUAUUUAAGAGAACUUGAAUUUGGAGUUUUGUUUUUUUUUUAAGGCAAAUGUUAAGUUAUUGGUAUAAUUUAAAGUGAUAAAACUGAAAGUUUUUUUUUUUAAGUACUUAAUGAAUAGAGGCCUAAGCCUCUCACUGUUUAGAAACUCCACUUUCUAAACUCCACUAUUUAGAAAGUACACGAUUCAACCCUCCCUCGUUUUUUCCUUUGUCUUCAGCUCAUUGUGGGGACGCAGCUGAGACAAAGGGCCUCCAUGGGCGCUCUUCUCUGACCUCAAGUCCCACCUGCCCAUGAAAACGCUCCACUGCUUUUCAGACCUCCCCUCAGCCCUGCUGUUUCUGGGGACCCUAAGCAGAGAGUGGGAGGGUCCCUGGUGUCAUUUGGAAACGGCUGCUGGGGGCAGGGUUCGCUUCCUGGGAGGGUGGGCGGUGUCUAACUCAGCCUUUCAGAUGGACCUAGUACGUGGGUCAGAAGCCAAGGUCAAACUCGAGUAGCCCAGCCCUCCAGGGCGGGUGCAGCCAGCUUGCUUCCCCGUGCUGGGCUCUGUAAGCAGGCACGCUGCCUGCCUCGCCCCAGUGAACCUCUCCGGCCAAUUGCCCCAAGCUCUCAGGCCCAGAUGGGCAGACUCUCAGGCGGGCUGAGAGCCUGGCCUGCACCCCCCAGCUCGUUCUUUCCCUUGCCUGGUUCUCUGGUUGGACUCCACACUCAAGGAAGCAGAAAGUCCAGAAACUCCCUUGAGAUGGGAGGCCCCCACACUGGAAGAGGCGUCUACUGUCUCUGGUUGCCUUCUGCUCACCCACAGGCCUUUGGGAGUGAGUGUGCAUGUGUUUGUCUAAAUGUGUGUAUGUGUGUUUGUUGGAGCAGCUGCCCUGGUGAGGCCAGUGUGCCCAGCAGGAAAAAAAAUAAGGAAAAGGGCCUCCAAUUAGCUGAGGGGCCGAGGAUCCCAGAUCUGGAUGUAACAGGAACCCCAGGAGGGGAAGUUUAUCAAAAUAUAAAAAAACUUUAACCAGUGGUAAUAAAAGAUCUCACUGGCAAAUAGAGAUCACUUAAAGAAAUUCACAAUUACCGAAAACAGUUCAGUAUUUUAAGAAAACUUUGUUCUCUUAGAGAACCAGAUUCAGGUUCUAAACCACUUUAC